GGCGGAGUCCUCUGGUUCAGGCUCCACCGAGCUGCGCAUGCUCCAGAUCGCGGUCCAGGGCGCCCCGUCUCUGCACACAGCCCACCGCCGCCAUCUUGACUUGAGGCGUCGCGAGGCGCUCCUGCCCACAGUCGCAGAACUGAAGUGUCCGGCGGAGCCGUUUUACACUAGAAACUCUGGUCUGAAGUUUCUGGGGCGAGGUCUCUGCAUGUCGCAGACCGCAAGUGAAACUAAACUAAGCACAAAGGAAAGCAAAAAGUUUAUCUCCUUGUGGUGUCAAGAUGACUCCUGGAAGCUCCAGACAUAGCUGGUCCUUAAAGAUUAUGAUCUCACAGACAGAGAAAGCCAUUUCUUCUUCAGCAGGCUUAUCGAUCCCUGAGAAGGACUCGAAUUGGCCUUGUUGAGGUAGACUGAAGGCUCAAGGGCUCACCUCAAGCCUUGGGUGCAAGUUUGUUCUGUGUAUCUCCUCUUUCUUGUGGGACCAGCAGCUUCCCCAGGACACCCAGUUAAAUUUUUAUUUAUCUGGCAACAUGAUAGCAGGAACAUCUGAGAAGCCAAGUAUGUUCACUUCUGAAGUGGGACUGCAGAGGGGAAAUGUGUGAAGAGUCUAUGGAAAUAGGUACCAGCUCUUUGGCUACACAAGAUCAUGCUGGCCACCGUGUGGACAAUAGACAAUAGCAGGAAAGAAGUGAAAGCCAAAAAGCCAGGUGGAACCAAUGAACCGUUCAGGCCUGAGGAGUUAUUGGCACCCAUUUCAUUUGUCUUUCUCCAGGUUUAAAAUUGAGGUGAUGAGAUGGAGUAUUACCUGUGUGCUUCAGAACAUCCACGAGUGACAUGUGAUAGUUGCCUGGGAAACUAAGAUGAAAUUCUACAGGCCUUUUGAAAUGCUUUACAUUUGAGAAUAAAGCUCAGCUGAAGUUUAAGCAGCAUACUGACAGUGAGUAUUGAUCUCUCAUAUUAUCUGUUAGGAUAUUUGAGCCGUAGAUAACAGAAAACCCCCGACUCAAAGUGGUUUAACCAAGAAAGAAAUGUCUUAUCUAAUGUAUCUAGAAGUCCAGAGGUAGAAUGGGCUCCAAAUGUGUUGUAAUGAGAAGCCUAAUAUAAUCAAAGAUCCAAGUCCUUUUCUUAUUUCUCUUCUUUGUACUCAGCUACCUUCUGAGGCUGGUUGUCCUCAUGGUUUCAAGAUGGCUGAGCAUGACAAUCUGA